AUAUAUUAAUAAGCAAGUCGUUUCUCAUCUGUCCGAAGUGUCCUUAAUGUACAAUCUCCAAGUGAACAUGCAUUUCCUUUAAACACCUUAAAGUCACCAAAGUCUCAUUCUCGAUAACUCUAUCAUCAUUUCUUUCAUCCCUAUUGAACAUUGUUUCAAUUCUAAAUAGGUACAAUGAAAAGAGAGUGCAAUUCAUAUAUUGUGAAUGCUUCAGCAAUAAAACCCUCCGAAUAGCUGGAUGCUUACGCUUGAUUUGAGAAAGCGAAUCACAUGAUGUUUUUGAAGUUGUUGUCUUGGAAGAAAGCUUGUAUCUUCGAAGAAGCUUCAAUCUUCGAGGGUAUUCUUGAAGUUGAAGACUUGGAUGAAAGCUUGGAUCUUCAAAGGAGCUUCAAUCUUCGAAAAUGUUUUUGAAAUUGGAGUCUUGGAAGAAAGUUUGUAUCUUCAAAGGAGCUCUAAUCUUCGAGGGUGGUCGACUUCAGGAGUUGAGGAGGUUUCUAUCUCUUGGGAGAAUUCUCUCAAGACCUUCUAGAGCCAAAAAUUUCCAACCCUUCCAAUUGAAGAGAACUCCUCUAUUUAUAGAGUUCCUUAGUGGGACUGCCGUCAGCGAUCCAACUUCUACCGGGGGACAAUCGGGCUUUUGCCGUCAGAUCCACCGCCCUAGUAGGAGCGAUCAGGCACCUUCGUCGUCUGGAGAGGUGGUAGUGCCGUCAGCGAUCCAACUUCUAUCGGGGGACGAUCGGGCUUUUGUCGUCAGAUCCACCGCUCUGAUAGGAGCGAUCGGGCACCUUCGUCGUAUAGAGCGGUGGUACUGCCGUCAGCGAUCCAAUUUCUAUUGGGGGAUGAUCGGGCUUUUGCCGUCAGAUCCACCGUCCUGCUAGGAGCGAUCAGGCAUCUUCGUCGUUUGGACAGGUGGUACUGCCGUCAGCGAUCCAGCUUCUAUCGGGGGAUGAUCGGGCUUUUACCGUCAGAUCCACCGCCCUGAUAGGAGCGAUUGAGCACCUUCGUCGUUUGGAGAGGUGGUACUGCUGUCAGCGAUCCAACUUCUAUCGAGGGAUGAUCGGGCUUUUGUCGUCAGAUCCACCGCCCUGGUAGGAGCGAUUGGAGACCUUCGUCGUUUGGAGAGGUGGUACUGCCGUCAGCGAUCCAACUUCUAUCGGGAGACGAUCAGGCUUUUGCCGUCAGAUCCACCGUCCUGGUAAGAGCGAUCGGGCACCUUCGUCGUUUGGAGAGGUGGUAUUGCCGUCAGCGAUCCAACUUCUAUUAGGGGACGAUCGGACUUUUGCCGUCAGAUCCACCGCCCUGUAGGAGCGAUCGGGCACCUUCGUCGUUUGGAGAGGUGGUACUGCCGUCAGCGAUCCAACUUCUAUCGGGGGACGAUCGGGCUUUUGCCAUCAGAUCCACUGCCCGAGUAAGAGCGAUCAGACACGUUCAUCGUUUGGAGAGAUGGGGGCAAAAUUGUACCAUCGACGUCUUCUUGGAGAAGCAAAGGUGGAGCUACACCGUCGUCGUCCUCUUAAUGCUACAACAUAUUAGAAAGGAGGUAGAGUUAUUUAUUUAUUUUGUUUUUUUUUUUGUGCCGACAUUUCUUUUAGAGGAGGUAGAGCCGCCUCUACAUCAAUGAAGCUUAAGGUCUUCAAACUUGCUUGAAAAGGCAACGAUGAAGUCUUUUUAUUUUAUUUUAUUAUUAUUAUUUUUUUUUUUUGCUUGAAGAAGACAGUACUUUUAAAUUUAAAUAUGAGAAAGCAUCAAUGAAUCCUUUGAGCUUGAAUAUGAGGAUACAUUGAUGAAACCUUCGAUCUUGUACAUGGAAAAAUAACAGUGCAAUCCUCAAAGUCGGUGGAGCAUUGGUGAAGUCUUCAGCCUUUAAUUUGAAUGAUCCUUUAUGAAA